rnacentral:rRNA from 1 species
GACGAACGCUGGCGGCGUGCCUAAUACAUGCAAGUAGAACGCUGAAGAGAGGAGCUUACUCUUCUUGGAUGAGUUGCGAACGGGUGAGUAACGCGUAGGUAACCUGCCUUGUAGCGGGGGAUAACUAUUGGAAACGAUAGCUAAUACCGCAUAACAAUGGAUGACACAUGUCAUUUAUUUGAAAGGGGCAAUUGCUCCACUACAAGAUGGACCUGCGUUGUAUUAGCUAGUAGGUGAGGUAAUGGCUCACCUAGGCGACGAUACAUAGCCGACCUGAGGGGGUGAUCGGCCACACUGGGACUGCGACACGGCCCAGACUCCUACGGGAGGCAGCAGUAGGGAAUCUUCGGCAAUGGGGGCAACCCUGACCGAGCAACGCUGCGUGAGUGAAGAAGGUUUUCGGAUCGUAAAGCUCUGUUGUAAGUCAAGAACGGGUGUGAGAGUGGAAAGUUCACACUGUGACGGUAGCUUACCAGAAAGGGACGGCUAACUACGUG